GGGUAAUUAGCUCAGUUGGCAGAGCAGCUGACUCUUAAUCAGCGGGUCGGGGGUUCAAGCCCCUCAUUACCCA
rnacentral:tRNA from 2 species